rnacentral:misc_RNA from 1 species
GAAAUCAGUCCACUGUCAUUGGUAAGCUCAUGCAACAUCUGAAUCGAGCUUUGCGCACGCUGGUCAUGAUCUCUGUCUCUGCAUUCUCAAGCAUUUCGACAACUUCAAUGAAAGGCGGCCUAACAUUAGGGUUGGCAUCCCAGCAACGGGUCAUGAUCUCACCAAGAGCAGGUAAGCAAUCAUUGGGAAUGACAGGUCGAACACCCUUGUUGACGACUGCAAAUGCAGCCUGCACUGCUGUCAUGUUCUGGAAAGGAAGCAUACCUGUGAUGAGUUCCCAUAAAACAAUACCAAAACUAUAGACAUCCACUUUU